GGCCUCCUGGUACUUAAUACAGGCUGUGUUCUUUACAUUGUACCGAAAGGGUAGGCACAGAAAAUGCACACCAUACAUACCUCAUCCCAUAUCCUUUUCCUGGUCUCUAUUAUGAAUGGGGGACAUGG